GGACGGCCGGUCAGUUUAGUGGUGAACGACUUUAGAUCGGUAGUGUGUUGUCAAAAUUCGGAUAGUUUUCUAGUAUUUCUGUUUGAAGAAGUACUUUUAGAUGUUCUGUCGCGUUUCGGUAGUAAAGUUAUCACCUAUAUCCGCGUUGUGAAAGUUGUAAACAUGGCUCUCUGGACGAAAGCCCAGCUGCUUCCCAACGAAAGCGUAUAUUUUCAACAAAUUAAGAGCAUUUAUGGAGAACACUUCCCCAUUGAAGUGCGCCAUUAUUUGGCACAUUUCAUAGAAGAUAAAUUCUGGCACGAGCCUCUGCCCACUCCUGAUCAUCCUAGUUAUGAAGCGUUCAUCGCAAAUGUGGUCGAUCGUUUUAUUCAAGAGAUUGAAAAUAAGGCUGAAAGUACCAAUGACGCCCCCGAACAAUUUUUAAUAAAAUUAAAAUUGGCCGAGGCUGCAAAAAUGUUCAGGCUACGUUACAGGUAAGUUUUUAACUAGUUUUGUUUAUCCA